GAAUAUCCAACUAUUGAACUUCUAUCCAUGGACAUUGCAACUAGAAGAUGGGAAAGAAAUGAGAGAAAUAGGGUUACAAAAAUGGAUGAAUACACGGAACCAAGACCCAUACAACCCUAGGAAUGCAUAUCUAUAAGCAAUGGGAAAGAAAUAUGCUGAAUAGAAUGGGAAAACAAAGAAAUCUCGAUCGAUGAAGAAGAAGGGGAUUCAUGCCAGAAAUCUUCCCUCUUGUUCGAAGUGGAAAAGGACACAGUUACGGCUUAUAGGAGAAGGGAUUGUUAAAGAUUCUGAUCAAGUUAUUAUCAUGUUCUAAAAUUAUUUUCAGCCAUAUUGGUAUCGGUCGAGCUUGAUUAUCUAUGUCUGCACC
rnacentral:lncRNA from 1 species